rnacentral:tRNA from 1 species
GCGGAUGUGGCGGAAUUGGCAGACGCACCAGACUUAGGAUCUGGCACCGUUAGGCGUGGGGGUUCGAGUCCCUUCAUCCGCACCA